rnacentral:lncRNA from 1 species
GCCCCGGCGGGGGGGUGGAGGACCGAGGUGUGGGGGGGUCGGGAUCCCGGACUGGGGGGGGGUGCUGGAGUUUGGAGAGAGGCAGAGAAGCCGACAGGCAGCAGGCGCUGAGAGAGAAAGAGAGACAAGUGGAGCAAGGUUAGUGCGGGCUCCGUCCCUCUGUCCCUCCAGCCCUCCGACGAGCCUUUCCCAUUCCCUCCUUCCCUCCAGCCCUUCUUCCCUCCAUCCCUACGCUGAGCCUCCGUCCCUCCUUCCCUCCAGCCCUGUCCCUUCUGUCCCUUCAGCCCUCCGAUGAGCUUUUCCCAUUCCCUCCAUCCCUGUCCCCUCCGUCCCUCCAGCCCUCCGACGAGCCUUUCCCAUUCCCUCCUUCCCUCCAGCCCUUCUUCCCUCCAUCCCUACGCUGAGCCUCCGCCCAUCCUUCCCUCCAGCCCUGUCCCUUCUGUCCCUUCAGCCCUCCGAUGAGCUUUUCCCAUUCCCUCCAUCCCUCCAUCCCUCCAGCCCUCUGUCCCUCCAUCCCUCCAACCCUCUGCCAAGCCUUUCCCAUUCCCUCCAUCCCUCCAUCCCUCCAGCCCUCUGUCCCUCCAUCCCNNNNNNNNNNCCCUCAGCUGAGACUUUCCUAUUCCCUCCAUCCCUGUCCCCUCCGUCCCUCCAGCCCUCCGACGAGCCUUUCCCAUUCCCUCCUUCCCUCCCUGUCCUCUGUCCCUCCUCCCUCAGCUGAGACUUUCCUAUUCCCUCCAUCCCUGUCCCCUCCAUCCGUCCUCCAAGCCUUUCCCUUUCCCUCCAUCCCUCCGCUGAGCCUUUCCCCUUCCCUCCAUCCCUCAAUCCCUCUGCCGAGUCUUUCCCAUUCCCUCCAUCCCUGUCCCCUCCGUCCCUCCAGCCCUCCACCGAGCCUUUCCCAUUCCCUCCUUCCCUCCCUGUCCUCUGUCCCUCCUCCCUCAGCUGAGACUUUCCUAUUCCCUCCAUCCCUGUCCCCUCCAUCCGUCCUCCAAGCCUUUCCCUUUCCCUCCAUCCCUCCGCUGAGCCUUUCCCCUUCCCUCCAUCCCUCAAUCCCUCUGCCGAGUCUUUCCCAUUCCCUCCAUCCCUGUCCCCUCCGUCCCUCCAGCCCUCCACCGAGCCUUUCCCAUUCCCUCCUUCCCUCCCUGUCCUCUGUCCCUCCUCCCUCAGCUGAGACUUUCCUAUUCCCUCCAUCCCUGUCCCCUCCAUCCGUCCUCCAAGCCUUUCCCUUUCCCUCCAUCCCUCCGCUGAGCCUUUCCUAUUCCCUCCUUCCCUCCAUCCCUCAAUCCCUCUGCCGAGUCUUUCCCAUUCUCUCCAUCCCUGUCCCCUCCAUCCGUCCUCUGAGCCUUUCCCAGUCCCUCUGUCCCUGCACUUUCUCUCUUUCUUUUCCCUUCCAGAGUGUGUUUG